UCAGAUUGAACGCUGGCGGCAGGCUUAACACAUGCAAGUCGAGCGGUAACAGGGGAGCUUGCUCCUGCUGACGAGCGGCGGACGGGUGAGUAACGCGUAGGAAUCUGCCUAGUAGAGGGGGACAACAUGUGGAAACGCAUGCUAAUACCGCAUACGCCCUGAGGGGGAAAGGAGGGGACUCUUCGGAGCCUUCCGCUAUUAGAUGAGCCUGCGUGAGAUUAGCUAGUUGGUAGGGUAAAGGCCUACCAAGGCGACGAUCUCUAACUGGUCUGAGAGGAUGACCAGUCACACUGGGACUGAGACACGGCCCAGACUCCUACGGGAGGCAGCAGUGGGGAAUAUUGGACAAUGGGCGCAAGCCUGAUCCAGCCAUGCCGCGUGUGUGAAGAAGGCCUUAGGGUUGUAAAGCACUUUCAGGGGUGAGGAAGAGUAGUGGAUUAAUACUUCAUUGCUUUGACGUUAGCCCCAGAAGAAGC
rnacentral:rRNA from 1 species